GCAGAGGGGAGGGAGGCCUAGGCUCUCCUUCCCUCCCUCUCUCUCUCUCACACACCUCCGGGUGGGGAGCAACACCUUCUCCGCGACGUGGAGCUUCGGAGAUUUCACUGACCCCUCCCGCACGGUGUUGGUACAAUGUGGAACCAGCCCCUUACAUCCCUUUGAGCCACACAGCCAAGCAACACCCUGAUUUAAUCCUAGCCUCAUCACGGGACAAUUUACAAUGCCCAAUUAACCUACCAGCUGGUACGUCUUUGGACUGUGGGAGGAAACCGGAGCACCCGGAGGAAGCCCAAGUGGUUACAGGGAGAGCGUACAAACUCCUUACAGGCAGCAGUGAUGAUUGAACCUGGGACCUUGGUACUAUAAAGCAUUGUGAGAGCCACUACAUUAUUGUGCUGCCCCUAAAUUAUUAUUAUUAUUAUGCCCUUUAUUUUUGGUGUUUUGUUUUUGUGCUGCAUCGGAUCUGGAGUAACAAUUAUUUAGUUCUUCUUUAUGCCGGUGUACUGGAAAUGACUUUAAACAAUCUUGAAUCUUGAAUAAGUAAAUCUGAAUCUAUUGCUGAUUGACAUUGCAGAUGGGGGUCCUCAAAGUCUUCAUCCUCGGUGAUGGUCUCCAGCACAGGAUUCCCAUGGAAAUCACAAUAUAUCACCAAGAGCUCUGAGCUCAGAGAGCUGAAGCUUUGGCAACCAUGCUACUGCGGUUGGAGAUUCCCUUACUCAUUGGUUGGCUGAAGUGUUUCCCGUACAGCGAGGACUUGCCAUGAUUCAGUUCACUAGAGGGCAGCAGACAAUGCUCCUCACUUGCAAAACCACACAGAUAGUGAGCAACAUGCUUACAAAGUACUGGAGGAACUCGGCAGCUCAGGCAACAUCUAAAGUUCGAAGUACACUUAUAAUUAAAGUAUGUAUACUUUCACAACUUCGGGGUUUGGCUCCUAACAGGCAGCCACAACACAAAGAAACCCAAAAGAACCCAUUAAAAAAAAGACUGUUAGACACCCAACAAGCAGAGAGAAAAAAAGCAAUAAGCAUAAGCAAUUAGCGUUCUGAACUGAAGUCCGCAAGGAGAGUUAAGACCCAUAGUUCAGUGCAGAGCCAAGUAAACAUCGCAAAGCAAUGAUCUCCCGGUUGAGAUGGUGCUACUGAACGUGUCCGACAACUUCUGGUGGCCCCAGAAAUAAGAAAUCCAAUGAAAAACGUCACUAAAUUACCUUUUCAUAGACAAAUUAUGUAAAUUAUCGCCGCAAACAGUGAUGUGAUGACGAGGCGAGUUCGGGGGAUGAACCGAGAUGGUGUGUUGCAGAUUCGGUGCAGUUGGAGUUUCGAUGCCCAUGCAGCUGCCCCAGGAGCAAGGUUGGAUCGAUCUGGCAAGGGAAGUUCAAAUGCUUAUUCAACUGGCAUGGGUGCGAGGUUGGAUUGAUCUGGGCACUGAGAGGAGAAGUCGGGGCACAGGAAAUUUGGUGCCUGUACAACUGGCCCGGGUGCGAGGCUGGAUCAGUCUGGGCACCGAGUUGGUUUGAAGAGCUUGAGAGCAGCUUUGGGCUGGACAACAGAAUCUGGGCCCAGAUGGAAUGGUCUAGGUCCCUAGUCCUUCGCUGCAGCCGGGUCCAAGUGUGAGGUACGAUUCGCUGUCUGGACAAUUUAAACACCAGCCCAAAUCAGAGUUGACAGCCUCUCUAGUGAAAAAGAGCAUGGAAGAAUUUAAUGGGAUUGGGAGCCGAUGAAUCCCCAGGACCUGGUGCUUGGCUUCCCAAAGGAAAAAGUCAUGGAAAUAGUGAAUACACCCUUUGUCAUCUGCCUAAA